rnacentral:misc_RNA from 1 species
GCUGCAACCAUAUGGAAGAAGUUAUGCCAGGAAGAUCCACUUUCAUUAAGCACAGGAACUUCUCUUAGAACAAAGUUAUUGCAGCAUGGUGGAGCCAAAGAACCCAGUGAAAUGUUGAAUGAUCUAGUAGGGGAAGGGAUUGUUAGAUAUUGCAAUGAAGGAAUCGUUCCUGAUAUGACGGGCUUUAUGGAUGAGUUAAGACUGGUGGAAGAUCAGCAAGCAACCAAAAGAUAGAAAGCGAUCAAUGUCAGGCAAAAGUGGAAAAAUAAGAGGAUAGAAGAUAGGAGCCAAUUUUAGGACAAUAGGUGGAAGGGAAUCAUUGGAAAAUUUUGGAUAAUUUUGUUUUGAAAGGCCUCGUCAAUUUGAGGAAAGUGUCUUCUGCUAAUGCUCCCAAUCACUGGGACUGAUUGUAUUGUUUUAAAGCCAUGGCCCACUUCAGAAGCCAUUCAAACAUAGGAGUCGGUUUCUCACGGGCAUCUGACUUGGUGUAUUCUUUUUACGGGGGUAAAUGUUUGCAGAGAGGAAGUCAGAUGGAUCACACACC